CCUGAAAGAGAACAAACUCGUGUUGUUUGAAGCUACCAGGGUCACGGUGAUUUGUUACAGCAGUAAGAGGAAGUGAGAACCUGGAGAAGGAUAAACCUCUGGGGAUCAGAGCUCUCCCAGUUGGUGGAAGGAGUUUCCAAACCUCUUCCCCGUGAAGCUACCUUCCACGAAAGGGCUGUUGUUUGUGUUGAGAAAUGACUUUGCCCAUCGGAGGAACAGCUCCGGUUCUGCAGGCUCCGACAGCGUGGAGCGGGGAGCCUGCGCGGCUGCAAAUGUCAGAAACUGAAUUACAGGCGGUGGCGCAGCGCCAGCUCCGAGAUGGGUGGGGUCCAGCUGCAGAGCCUCCCAGCUGUGACUCUGGCCAAGUCGGCCCCUUCUCUGCUGGCCCCUUCUCUGCAAGCGUCAGUGUCCUUAUUUGUAUAAUGAAGUUAAUUUCCACCUGUCAGAAUUGCAGAUAACGUUAAUGAAACGGCUAAGAACCUGGUACAGAGCAAGAGUUGGGUAAAUGUCAGUUCUCCCGUUUCCCCUUCUGCCUUGCUUCCUCGUGCCUGCGUUUGGAGUCGGGCAUUUUUCGGUAACAGACACAAAGGCAAAAGUGCAUGGGGUGAAGAAGGGCUCUGCCCACUCUUAAGAGUCACUCAGGUCCACCCUGUUCAGAGAGUCCACCCAGAUGUGUUCUUUAACUCGAGAAUUUAUGAAGAUGAAGAGAGGAGUUGAUAAAGAUGGCUGAGCCUACAUGUGUUAAUGAGAACAAUAUUCAGAGGCUGCUUUGUGGUGACCCCUACUGGAUUCUGGCGUCAAACUCCUGUUUGUCCUCACUUGGGACCGGGACACUGCCGCUGUGUGGCACAGGCAAAUUCCAGGGAUCCUCUUGUGACUUAAGUCGGAUUUUCCCUCAUUGCCUUUGCAGAAAUACUCACUUCCUGCUUCAGAGCUGAUGAUGCUGACUCCUUAGCUUUGUUUACACAAUUGCUGAAGGUGUUGUUUUUAAGUCCUGCAUCUUUAUUGAAUUGAUAUCUGCAAAAGCCUUUGAUUCCCUUGCCAGUGCUCUGUGAACUGGAUGUCGCUUCUCAGUCUGGACGGAUAUGGGCCCCUUCUGGCCGAACCAUGACACAUCCUGAGACACAGUGUUUAAAUAAUUCCCAGGAAGCGGCAGCUCAUUGGCACCGGUGUUAAUCACUUCAUAUCCAGUUUUCUGUGGUUUCAUCAUAGUCUGACUUCGGACUCAAGGUUAAGAAAGGAUGAAACAGUUUUCAACCUACGAACCCUGUACUUGGACAUUGUGAACUCCUUAGCUACAGAUGUUAUCUAAAUAAGAUAUGGGGGAAUUAAAUGAUGAUUUGAUCAUGGUUGGAGGGACCACAGGAAGUAGUCAGAAAAGAGAAGAGCAGCCGAUCAGAAGAAAGCAAAGACUCAGUGGCGCUUACUCUGGACCAGGCACUGUCCUCAGUGCUGUGCACUCGUGGCUUGUUCAUCCUUGGGACAACCCCACAAAUGAAGUACCAUUGUGAUGCCAGUUUACAGAUGAAGAAAGUAAGGCACAAGAAGUGAAAUAAACUGUCCAAGACUAUUCAAGACAGAACUUAAGUCAAUGUUCUUAACCACCCACACUAUGAAAGCAGUUUUACAGAAUGCUAAAUGUGAGUCAGAAAUAGAAAAAUCGGUGCCCAGUCCUCCCUAUUCCAUAUUAAGGCACCAGAGCAAAUUUCCUGGCUUUGAACUUGCAACAUGGCCCCUGUCACUGCCACUGACACUGGGAGAUUCCUAUCACUGCUACAGAGACUUAAGUAAAGGAAUGCAAUCACCAAGAGAGAAUAGCUCCAUGAGGAGAGAAAGGGCCUGGGAGGGGAGAUGUGGUUAAAAGACACAGCACAAUGUGAAAGAAACAAAAAGCUGGGAUUCAGGGGGAU